UUUUAACAUCUUUGACAAAUUUCUCAAAAUCAGAUUAUAAUUAAAGUCUUUUUAACCUAAAAUUGACUUUGGGAUUUUUCAGUUGGUUUCCUUAAAAGCCUCAAAGGAUGUAUUUCUCGUUAGGCUUAUUUGAUAUUUUAGAUUAUGUAAAAAGCACUGCCAAAUAAUAAAGUGAUACUAGAUCUUUUAAAACUUAUAUUUAAGUGGAUAUGUUAUUGAUGUGAAUAUUUAAACAUUAUAUGACAUUUAUAAAAGUCUAAUAGUUCUGAUGUGAUGCUGUCAAUUAUGAUUCUGGUUGUUAUCUUAAAAUGCAAUAGAAAUAACUGAAUUUCCUUGUCGAUUGCUGAACUUUAUCCAAUUUUAAUUAUUAUCAUUGUAAGUUAUUGUCAUCUACAGGUAGAUUUUUCUCUAAAGGCAUCUGCAAUCAGGUUAAUAAAAAAAGACUCUACUGAGUGCUCUUAAAUACAGGCUUCUAAUAACUUUUAAGAUCAGUGGACUAUAAAACUUUUAAAAACUCAAAUGAAAAACUGAUGGAUUCAUGAAACUUCUAAUCAAGAUUAAGCAGAACAAAAUUAUGUGAGAUUGAAUAACUGAUAAAAAUUAUGAUUUUUUUGAUAUUUGUUUGAAAUGUUGUUGGUUCUUUAUUUGAAACAUUGUUGAUUCUUAAAUGUUUUGCUUUCCAGACUAAAUACAACUUUCUGUUUUAAGUUACCCAUAGUUCACAGCAAUUUGGUGAAGUCUAGCAUUAUAAAUGAAGGUGAAAACAUUUUUUUUUCUUCCAACUUGAUCCUUCAAAAUUCAAAAACUAUUUGUGAAUUUUUAAUUUAUGAUGAUAUAGCUAUUUGCAUAAGUUCAUACAAAUCUGUUUUCUUUAUAACAAGAUGCAUCUAGAAAUGUCAAUUGUAUUACCAAGAUUUUAGUAACAUGUCAUGUUUAAAAUUGCAUAUAGGCAUUAUAGAUAAAAUCCAAAGUUUGCCUUGAGGCUCUCUAGCCUCAAAAAAGAAAAAAAGUUCAAGCCAAGAUUAAAUCACUAUUCUUGCUACACUUUUGUAAAUAAUCAGGCCAAAUCUGAUGAAACUAAAUUUAUUUUACAAGCAAAUUAUUCUUACUCCAAUUAUCUUUGGCAAAUAUAUCAGAAUGACUAUAAUAUCACCUGCCAUUGGACUGCAGCUCUGUGAAUUGUUUUUGAGUUCUUGUUAUCUACCUGUAGGCUGUACUAGAUCCUGAAUUCGAGUUCUCCUCAAUAUCUGGUUACAACCCUCCCACUAAGAAAAAGAACAAGAACUGUUGUCUUCCUGAGGCCCUAUAGGCUGAAACUGAAUGCACUUCAAGGGACAAAUCUUGUGCCUGAUGUUUGGACCGUACAGAGAGUUCACCAAACUGCCCAGUGCCAUAAUCAGAGACAUUUGCACAACAAUUUGCCAACUUCACGCUGUAGACAGCUUUUCCCAAGACAUCAGAGCAAGCCUCCAUAUUAUAAUGAGACUCCUACACUCUUACCUUUGUUGCUUGUCAGGAUUAUGCCGAAGGAAUGACACUCCAAAAAUAGUAAUGCUGGCCCAGCACUUCAAAUGAUAACUAACACUUACGGAACUGACAACAUGAAACUUAACAGUGGACUCCAGGUAGACUUAGCCUGACAGCCGCAUUCUCCAGACCUCCUUGGUUGCUCAAAUGUGGCUAAGAGGAUUUUGACACUAACUCCUCUUUGCCAAUCACUUCCCCUGACAUAGGACCAGACCAGCAACCAAGGACAGGUCUGUCCUGGCACAGCAGGACAAUCAAAACCUAACCACAGAAUAGUUGAUCUGCAAUACUUUCAGAGAAAGAUCUUCAUCAAAACGGGGAAAUGUAAAAGUUGUAAGACUCAAAAUGGAAUCACUUGUGUCAAACCCUGGCAAAUGGAGCUGGGGAGGGUAAGAACGGGGGUGAUAUGGUUUGGAUUUGUGUCCCCACUAAAUCUCAUGUUGGAUUGUAAUCCCUGGUUUUGGAGGUAGGGCCUGAUGGGAGGUGAUUGGAUCAUGGGGACAGUUUCUCAUGGUUUAACACCAUCCUUCUUGAGAUGUUGUCAUUGAGCUAGUGAGUUCUUGUGAGAUCUGGUUGUUUAAACGUGUGUAGCACCUCCCCCAACUCUCUCUUGAUCCUGCUCCAGCCGUGUAAGAUGUUCCUGCUUCCUCUGUCCCUUCCACCAUGAUUGUAAGCUUCCUGAGGCCUCCCCAGAAACAGAAGCCACUAUGCUUCCUGUACAGCCUGCAGAAAUGUGAGCCAAAGAGGUUUAAUUAAACCUCUUUUCUUUGUAAGUCACCCAGUCUCAGGUAUUCCUUUAUAGCAGUGUGAGGACAGACUAAUACAGGAGGGGCUCUCAUGCACUAUUUGCCUGAUAAUAGGAACUAUCACAAGAACUUUUUCCAAACCACAGCUUACUAGAUAAGUCACACAGCACAGCUAGCUGCUUACUCAUAAACAGUUGCCCAAUACACUGUCUCACAAACCCAGUGCAAAACUACAGGUGCCUAACUCUAAUUCCAAGAUUAGAAGUUGUAUCUAGCAGCUACUGACAUUUGCCAGUGAACACUCACCAGCUGUUGUAAAAUGCUGCCAGUGCCAUUGAACUUUCUUUUAAAAUAACUUGCAUAAGGUCAGGAGAUCGAGACUAUCCUGGCUAACACGGUGAAACCCCACCUCUACUAAACAAAAAAUUAGCCGGGCGUGGUGGCGGGUUCCUGUAGUCCCAGCUACUCCGGAGGCUGAGGCAGGAGAAUGGCGUGAACCCGGGAGGCGGAGCUUGCAGUGAGCCGCGAUCGCGCCACUGCACUCCAGCCUGGGCGACAGAGCGAGACUCCGUCUCAAAAAAAAAAAACAAAAAAACAAAAAAACUUGCAUAACCUCCUGUUUCUCCAGGACACCCUAACCUUUCCCUGUAUUCUUUGAACAUGCUGGAGGCCAUUCUGCUCUGCAUGUAUGCCCCAGAGUGCAAUCCUACUUCUUGCAUAUUAUUCCAAAUAAAACCUUUAAUCCAG
rnacentral:lncRNA from 1 species